GCAACAAGGUUAAUACCUAAGUUUACACAGGGUGCAACAAGGUUAAUACCUAAGUUUACACAGGGUGCAACAAGGUUAAUACCUAAGUUUACACAGGGUGCAACAAGGCUCUGUUUUCUUACAUCAAGCCCUGGAUAUGUUCUGUUUAAUAGACAACGAAUCUGACAAUACUCAACACUCAGAGCAUUAAAUAUUGCCAGUAAAGAUCAAUAGUGAAAUUCAGGGGAAUGAUGAUCAUGGCUCAGUUGUAAUGUAAUGUGCAGUACAUUUUGGUUUCCUUUCACAGUUCACAGUUCACAGUUCAGAGCAGUCGUUCACCAGACGACAUGACUACAAGCAUCGUUUUGUUAGGGAAGCCAUGUCACAAUAUCAAUGUAUUGGUAAAUUGUUAAUGUGGAUGAUUUGUCAAUACCAAUGUAUGAAUGUCAAUACUUCAGUAAAUAGUCACUGCCAUGAAAUGUUUAAUAUAUUUAGAUUUUGGCCCCAGUAGCAUCAGGCUAUGUUACUGACUGUUACAGGCUGACUCAGUUGCUAUGCUACGUACAGACUGUGAAAAGAAAUAAUGAUAUAAACACCUUCCUUGAAGAGAACCUAAUCAAUAGUGGGUUUCUCAAAGUAUGUGUGAACUGAAUAGUGAGAAGAAUUGUGAUGAUGCAAGUUUUGUAAUGUUUUGUCAAUGUUACAAGUUAUUGCCCCUUGUAAUAAUAGUAUUAUCAGAUUUGUACAUAGUAUAUUAACAUCAAGACUGUUAUGACUGUGUUCAGUUGACAUGUCUUACAUUAUAAGUCAAGCAAGGUAUAGUUCAUCCUGACAGUUGUACAGACGUUGUAGAGGGAUGGUGUUCAGUGAGGCCCUGGCCAGUGUCACCAGAGUUGCCCUUACGAGAAAUAGUUUCUUUUAAAAAAAGGUUCACAUGAACUUUGAAGAUAUUGCUGAAGUUUUGAGGUUAUUCUUUUGAGUCUGAAGACACUUGCUACUCAUUGUUUUCACCAGGUGAAUAUUGUUGUGUUCAAGAACGUUGACUUUAGUAGGCGGGGUGAGGUGUGAGAGCUGGCACUUGUGCCAUGAGUUGAGAUGCUGCUGCUGCUGCAGGGGUAACUGUGUAACUCUGUGCUGCUCCCUACACACGGAGGGAUCUUGGCUUGCUGCACAGAGCUAAGUACCAUGGAUGUUUCCUAAGAUCGCUCGAAAUUUGUAUUGUACUUCAUAUGCAUGCAUCAUGACCUUAUGGCAAAUUGAACAUACUUCAUUUUGUAAAACAUUUGCCUUAAAAUAUAAAUGUGCAUAUUAUGAAUUGAUCACCAGUAUAUUUACUAAUCAAGUUAGAAUUCAGACCAGCAAGGGUCAUUGGGCCCAAAAAUUGGUGUCUAUUUGAUGAUUCCAUUUUGAUGGAGACAUCUCUGGGGCAAUUUUCAUGGUGCAAGUUGUGUUGCAGUAUUCGUGGCUCACAAUUGAUGUACUUCAUGUGGGGUUGUUAGUGCAGAAUGAUAAGAAUUUGGAAUCUCUUUAAGGUGUAUUGAGGAACAGCCAAAAGGCUGUAAGUAGUGACAGAUCCGAGUCAGGGAGCAGCACAGGGUACUGCAGCUACCUGCUGUGGCUGGGUGGAGGCGAGAUUUAUGUCAUGGGUGUGUGUUGAGUACAUGUUUAAGAUUUCUGGGUUUGUUUUGACUGUUGACCAGCUGUAGGUGUGAAUAGUUCAGCUCUCUGCGUGUGUUCACUGGCUCUCUGCAAGGUGUGCAUAUUGACAGACUGUCUACAAGGAUAUGUGUGUGUUCACUGUCUUUCUGCCAAGUGUGUAACUUCACUGGGUCUCGGCCAGAUGAACAGCUGUCUGCCAGGUGCGGGUGUUCACAGGCUGUCUGCCAGGUGCGUAUGUUCACAGGCUGUCUGCCAGGUGCAGGUGUUCACAGGCUGUCUGCCAGGUGCGUGUGUUCACAGGCUGUAUGCCAGGUGUGUGUGUUCACACGUCUGCCAGGUGUGUGUGUUCAUAGGCUGUAUGCCAGGUGCGGGUGUUCACAGGCUGUCUGCCAGGUGCCGAUGUUCACAGGCUGUCUGCCAGGUGCAUGUGUUCACAGGCUGUCUGCCAGGUGCGUGUUUUUACGGGCUGUCUGCCAGGUGCGGGUGUUCACGGGCUGUCUGCCAGGUGCGGGUGUUCACAGGCUGUCUGCCAGGUGCGGGUGUUCACAGGCUGUCUGCCAGGUGCCGAUGUUCACAGGCUGUCUGCCAGGUGCAUGUGUUCACAGGCUGUCUGCCAGGUGCGGGUUUUUACGGGCUGUCUGCCAGGUGCGGGUGUUCA